AAAGCCAUGGAGGAAGUCAGCAGGUGAGGCAGCAUUUUGUUCUGCCUGUAAGUCAGCCUUGGCCUUCAUGUGAGGGCAGCUCUAUUAACAUUUCUAAUCGAGUCAUCAAUGGCUGGGUCUCCAGUUGCUGAUUCCACAAGUGGAAUGCUCUGGGCAUUUUACGUUGACCGGCUCAGAAUCCAGGGUGGAGUGAACAGUCACUUUCUGCCAGCAGCACCAGAACCUUGUCUUUAGGAGCCCUGAGAGAGGAGUGCAUCAGGCUCCCUCCACGCACCCAUGCCCAGAGUCCUGACCUGCUGGACGCUGGGGAUGCUCAGGUGAGCAGCAGCGCGUCCUCCAGCGUCUGCAGCAGCGUGCCCACCUGCUGGCCCUCCUGCACGUGCCGCAGCCGCACCGUCAGCUUCCGCAGCGCCUCUCGGUCCUCCUCCACGCGCCCCCGGCCCUCCUCCACGCUCCCCCGGCCCGCAGGGCCCGCCAUACCGCCGGAGUCUGGCUGAGGCCUGAGCUCACUGCCCUGUGCACAGUACCCUCCCACCUCCGGCCCUGGCAAAGAGAAGCUUCUGUGCAUUUCCAGAAUGAAUGGAGUGACUAGCCCCAGACUGGACAAGGUCCUGAGUGGUGUUGAGACUGAAGAGGAGGGCAGCACAUAUGUGCACACAUUUAACAGAGGUAGCAUUUGGCAGGUGAUAUAACAGUUUGGAACAUUUGACUCACUUCCUAGGAGUAUAAAAAAUAAAAUUGGCAUUACCACCUGCAACAAAAAGGUACCUUUCAGGUGCCUCAAGAGUUAAAUAACAUUUAUUUUGAAAAGAAAAUGUACACUUAUUCAAUUGUUUUUCAUUCAAUCAAUCUUGCUGGAAGCAAACAUAACAACUAAGAAACUCUGAGGCUAUGAAACUAAGAGUCUAUGUGGCUUCAUACAAAUGUACAUUUUUUAUUUUAUUUUAUUUUACUUUACUGAGGCAAAUGUCCAUUUCCUGCAGUUAAAUAAAAUGAUCUCAAGGCAAUGAAUGUAAAACUAAAAAAAAAAGUUGUUGGGGGGGGUGGGUGGUGGCAUACCUGGUUGAGCAAACAUUACAAAAAAAGUUGUGAUGCAUAUGCCAAAAAUUAAUAGUAUGUAAAAAAUAGCUAUUGGGAGUCGUGCAGUAGCGCAGCAGUUAAGCACAGGUGGUGCAAAGCACAAGGACUGGCAUAAGGAUCCCGGUUCAUGCCCCCAGCUCUCCACCUGUAGGGGAGUCACCUCACAGGCAGUGAAACAGGCCUGCAGAUGUCUAUCUUUCUCUCCUCCUCUCUGUCUUCCCUGCCUCUCUACAUUUCUCUCUGCCCUAUCCAACAACAACAACAUCAAUAACAACUUCUGGCACUCAUGUGGAGUGGAUCCAGCCAGGGGGAAAGUCACCCAUCCUCCCUCACUAGCUCUCAGGGACCACGUGAUUCAGAAAGGAGGACUCAGGGAGUACUCUGGUACGAACACUCAUUUAUUUGGACAUGGAUACAGGUUUAUAUACAGAGUUAAACAAAGAACAUUUUUCACAUAUGUCAGAAAGUACAGGUUUCGUAAAGGUCAGCUUUCCCCUAUGGUAGGGGGCUGAUAUGACAAGAAUUGAUGCGAUACAUAAAGGUCAAAACGAUUAUUCUCCAUGAUGCAGGCAGGUUAAUUAUCCAAAGGCAUUUGACAGAAGCAUAGGGGUUAAACCAGUAAGGUGAGGUAGAGAAAAGAAAUACAAAGCUUGAUGUAAAUAACAGAUAUCAAAGGACACAAGGAAAUAAGAUUUGGGGGCUUUUCAUUGUCUGGUGUUAGGGGUGUAUGAUAAGAGUAUGUUCUCCUUUGUGAUGAAAAGGUGAAGUGGAUGUGUGAACUUUGAGUGAACCCUAAAGCAGGCAACCAUUUGGCCUGCUGCUAGCAGGGAAAACUAAGUGUGAGAUACUUGUAGGCUUUCUGUGAGCUUGAGAGACUAACAAGGAGAAACCUGAGUCUGGGAGACUUUUCCCUCUUGGCUCAUCUCUAUUAGGAGAGAGGCUAACAAGUGGGGUGUCUUUCCAGACCUCCAUCCAAGGAUGGGAGCUUCCCUAAGCUCUACCAAGCUUUCACAUAGUCCCAUAGACAACAACAAUAAUAACUACAACAAUAAAAAAAAAUAGCUAUCACAGUGGCAAAGCAAGUUGUGAUAUAUAUACACAAUGGAAUACUGCUCAGCUAUUAAACACAGUGCGAUCUUGGAUGGAGCUUGAAAAAAUCAUGUUAAGUGAAAUAAGUCAGAAACAGAAGGAUGGGGGGUCAGGCGGUAGCGCAGAGGGUUAAGUGCAGGUGGCACAAAGCACAAGGACCGGGGUAAGGAUCCCAGUUCCAGUCCCUGACUCCCCACCUGCAGGGGAGUCGCUUCAUAGGCAGUGAAGCAGGUCUGCAGGUGUCUGUCUUUCUCUCCCCCUCUGUCUUCCCCUCCUCUCUCCAUUUCUCUCUGUCCUAUCCAACAAAAAAUGACAUCAACAACAACAAUAAUAAUCACAACAAGACUACAACAACAAAGGCAA